GACUGGGAACAGUCCAGCGCUGAAUCGCUGUGUCUUUGGCACUUCGAAAUGUAGCGUAUAGACGGUGCGCGUGGCUUUGUCUGCCGGUUUAAGUUUCCCUUGACUGGGGCUCCAAAGAAGGUGAAAGACCUGUACAACCGGUGGACUUUGUCAUCUGCUCUGUCUUGGAGUCGGGUUGUUUGGGAUCGCAGCCCAAAGUAGGUGGUAAACUUCAUCUAAGACUAAAUAUGACUACGAGACCGAUAGCAAACAAGUACCGUGAGGGAAAGUUGCAAAGCACUUUGAAGAGAGAGUUAAAGAGGACGUGAAACCGGUAAGGUGGAAACGGAUAGAGCUAGCGUAUCUAGCUUGUAUUCAGCCGCUCUGGUUUGGGUGCCCUGUUUGCUGGUCCGGAUUCGGCCAGUUGGCGGGUGUCUCCUGGGCUUUGGUGGUGCAUUUGCAAGUGGAGUGCGCUGAGGCCUGUGGGGCAGCGGUUGGAAGUGCGCUUUGAGGAUACCCUUUGGGGUAAAACCCGGGCGUACCUAAGACUGUUUGCCCUGCUUGUACAUGAGCGUGGCUUACGGGUUUGGCUGGGGCUGAGCUGGUCGCCGGUUACGGUCGCAUGCGACACGUGCUGGUGGUUGGUUUAGUUUUGGUCUGACUCCCUCGCUCGCCCUCGGUGUAAAAGCUAGUCAUCUAUCCGACCCGUCUUGAAACACGGACCAAGGAGUUUAGCGUAUACGCGAGUCAUUGAGUGUAAAACUCAAAGGCGCAAUGAAAGUAAAGGUAUCCCUUGCGGAGCUGAUAUGCGACCUCGGGUGCUUCGGUGCCCGGGAGCAGCAUAGCCCCGUCCUAAUUGCUUGCAAUGGGGCGGAGGUAGAGCGUAUUCGCUGAGACCCGAAAGAUGGUGAACUAUUCCUGAGCAGGAUGAAGCCAGUGGAAACACUGGUGGAAGUCCGAAGCGAUUCUGACGUGCAAAUCGAUCGUC
rnacentral:rRNA from 1 species